UACGGAGGGGGGCUAGCGUUGUUCGGAAUUACUGGGCGUAAAGCGCGCGUAGGCGGCCACUUAAGUCGGAUGUGAAAGCCCCUGGCUCAACUGGGGAAGUGCACCCGAAACUGAAUGGCUUGAGUGCGAAAGAGGGUCGCGGAAUCCCGGUGUAGAGGUGAAAUUCGUAGAUAUCGGGAGGAACACCGGUGGCGAAGGCGGCUCACUGGCUCAUUUCUGACGCUCAGGCGCGACAGCGUGGGGAUCGAAACAAGG
rnacentral:rRNA from 1 species